GAUGAACGCUAGCGGCAGGCUUAACACAUGCAAGUCGAGGGGUAUUGGUUUUCGGACCAAGAGACCGGCGCACGGGUGCGUAACGCGUAUGCAAUCUACCUUUUGCAGAGGGAUAGCCCCAGAGAAAUUUGGAUUAAUACCUCAUAGUAUAGUACUUUGGUCAUCAAGGAACUAUUAAAGUCACAACGGCAAAAGAUGAGCAUGCGUCCCAUUAGCUAGUUGGUAAGGUAACGGCUUACCAAGGCUACGAUGGUAGGGGUCCUGAGAGGGAGAUCCCCCCACACUGGUACUGAGACACGGACCAGACUCCUACGGGAGGCAGCAGUGAGGAAUAUUGGACAAUGGG
rnacentral:rRNA from 1 species